GACGAACGCUGGCGGCGUGCUUAACACAUGCAAGUCGAACGGAAAGGCCCUGCUUUUGUGGGGGGCUCGAGUGGCGAAAGGGUGAGUAACACGUGAGUAACCUGCCCUUGACUUUGGGAUAACUUCAGGUAACUGGGGCUAAUACCGGAUAGGAGCUCCCGCUGCCUGGUGGGGGUGGGAAGGUUUCGGCGGUUGGGGAGGGACUCGCGGCGGAUCAGCUUGUUGGUGGGGUAGUGGCUUACCAAGGCGUUGACGGGUCGCCGGCCUGAGCGGGUGCCCGGCCACAUUGGGACUGAGAUACGGCCCAGACUCCUGCGGGAGGCAGCAGUGGGGAAUAUUGCACAAUGGGCGGAAGCCUGAUGCAGCAACGCCGCGUGCGGGAUGACGGCCUUCGGGUUGUAAACCGCUUUCGCCUGUGACGAAGCGUGAGUGACGGUAAUGGGUAAAGAAGCACCGGCUAACUACGUG
rnacentral:rRNA from 1 species